GGGUUGUGAGGUUAAGCGACUAAGCGUACACGGUGGAUGCCCUGGCAGUCAGAGGCGAUGAAGGGCGUGCUAAUCUGCGAUAAGCGCCGGUAAGGUGAUAUGAACCGUUAUAACCGGCGAUACCCGAAUGGGGAAACCCAGUGUGAUUCGUCACACUAUCAUUAACUGAAUCCAUAGGUUAAUGAGGCGAACCGGGGGAACUGAAACAUCUAAGUACCCCGAGGAAAAGAAAUCAACCGAGAUUCCCCCAGUAGCGGCGAGCGAACGGGGAGGAGCCCAGAGCCUGAAUCAGCAUGUGUGUUAGUGGAAGCGUCUGGAAAGGCGCGCGAUACAGGGUGACAGCCCCGUACACAAAAGCGCAUGUGCUGUGAGCUCGAUGAGUAGGGCGGGACACGUGGUAUCCUGUCUGAAUAUGGGGGGACCAUCCUCCAAGGCUAAAUACUCCUGACUGACCGAUAGUGAACCAGUACCGUGAGGGAAAGGCGAAAAGAACCCCGGCGAGGGGAGUGAAAAAGAACCUGAAACCGUGUACGUACAAGCAGUGGGAGCCCCACCACUAAGCCAGUGGUGAACUCCACAUCCGCAUCCUUUGCUGAGGAUACGGUUAACGGAGCGAAAGCGACGUUCAACCGCAAAACAAGCAGAGGGGGCUUAGUGGUGGGGUGACUGCGUACCUUUUGUAUAAUGGGUCAGCGACUUAUAUUCUGUAGCAAGGUUAACCGAAUAGGGGAGCCGGAGGGAAACCGAGUCUUAAUUGGGCGUUAAGUUGCAGGGUAUAGACCCGAAACCCGGUGAUCUAG
rnacentral:rRNA from 1 species